rnacentral:snoRNA from 1 species
AUGCCCAGUGAUUAUAACAAGACGCGUUAUUACGAGGAUCAGCACUGGAGCUCCCCUUCUACCUUCCUGCUGUUCACUCCCCCAAAGUUAUCUAUCUUUACCUUUAUUCCUCUUGCUUCUCUCCCCCUUCUUGGAGUUUCACUCCUCUUCCUCCUUCUUGGGAGUUUCCAGUGUCCUAUGAGCAAGAUUAUGAGAUAUGAGGGCAU